rnacentral:rRNA from 1 species
UUUCGCAAUGCCCGAAAGGGUGACGAAGCGACGCCGCGUGCGGGAAGAAGGCCUUCGGGUUGUGAACCGCUGUCGGGAGUUAAGAAAUGCAAGGAUGUUAAUAGCGUUCUUGCUUGACUAAGGCUCCGGAGGAAGCCACGGCUAACUCUGUGCCAGCAGCCGCGGUAAUACAGAGGCGGCAAGCGUUGUUCGGAAUUAUUGGGCGUAAAGAGCACGUAGGCGGCUAUGUAAGUCGGUUGUGAAAGCCUUCCGCUCAACGGAAGAACAGCAUCCGAUACUGCAUAGCUUGAGUGCGGGAGGGGAGAGUGGAACUUCUGGUGGAGCGGUGAAAUGCGUAGAUAUCAGAAGGAACGCCGGCGGCGAAAGCGACUCUCUGGCCCGCAACUGACGCUGAGUGUGCGAAAGCUAGGGGAGCAAACGGGAUUAGAUACCCCGGUAGUCCUAGCCGUAAACGAUGGGCACUAAGUAGAGGGGUUUU